GACGAACCGUACGACCGUUAUUCGGAAUCACUGGGCUUAAAGGGGGCGUAGGCGGGUCUUUAAGUCAGGGGGGAAAUCCUGGAGCUCAACUCCAGAACUGCCUUUGAUACUGAAGAUCUUGAGUUCGGGAGAGGUGAGUGGAACUGCGAGUGUAGAGGUGAAAUUCGUAGAUAUUCGCAAGAACACCAGUGGCGAAGGCGGCUCACUGGCCCGAUACUGACGCUGAGGCACGAAAGCGUGGGGAGCAAACAGG
rnacentral:rRNA from 1 species